ACUAAAUAGAUACCCUGGUAGUCCACGCCCUAAACGAUGUCUACUAGUUGUCGGGGAUUCAUUUCCUUGGUAAACGCAGCUAAACGCGUGAAGUAGACCGCCUGGGGAGUACGGCCGCAAGGUUAAAACUCAAAGGAAUUGACGGGGACCCGCACAAGCGGUGGAUGAUGUGGAUUAAUUCGAUGCAACGCGAAAACCUUACCUACGCUUGACAUGCCAGGAACUUUCCAGAGAUGGAUUGGUGCCCGAAAGGGAACCUGGACACAGGUGCUGCAUGGCUGUCGUCAGCUCGUGUCGUGAGAUGUUGGGUUAAGUCCCGCAACGAGCGCAACCCUUAUCCUUAGUUGCUACGCAAGGGCACUCUAGGGAGACUGCCGGUGACAAACCGGAGGAAGGUGGGGAUGACGUCAAGUCCUCAUGGCCCUUAUGUGUAGGGCUUCACACGUCAUACAAUGGUCGGUACAGAGGGUCGCAACCCGCGAGGGGGUAGCCAAUCCCAGAAAACCCGAUCGUAGUCCGGAUUGCAGUCUGCAACUCGACUGC
rnacentral:rRNA from 1 species